CACAGAGAAUUAACUUAAAUUAGGAAUAUUUACAAUAAGAAUAAAAUCCUUAUAAUUAAGCCUAAUUAGGAUCUCAAAGAUCUGAAUCCUCCAAUUAGUAACCUUCUAUAUUGGUCAACACUCCCUGCAAGUUGGUGCAAAAAUAUCACACAUGCCCAACUUGCAAACCAAUAUGUGUUAAGUCUUGCUGCUGAGCCCUUUGGUAAACGUAUCAGCUAAUUGUUCAUCGGAAGUUAUAUGAUCUAAUCUCAAGACACCAUUUAUUAAUUUUUCUUUAAUGAAAUGUCGAUCAAUCUCUAUGUGCUUCGUUCGAUCAUGUUGAACUGGAUUGUGAGCUAUAGUAAUGACAGCUUUGUUGUCACAGUACAAGAGGAGUUUGUCCCUCUCCAACAGUUUUAAUUCCUCCAACAAUCUUUGCAACCAUAGAAGUUCACAAACACCUUGUGUCCUCGCUCUAUAUUCCACCUUAGCACUUGAUCGAGCAAUAAUACUUUGUUUCUUGCAAGGUUUCCUCCUGCUAGUGUGCAGUAACCGCUAGUCGAUCUAUCAUUAAGAGAUCCAACCCAAUCGAUAUCUGUGAAUGCUUGUAUGCGGAGAUGACCAUGUUUAGAGAACAUGAGACUUUUUCCAGGAGCAGACUUUAAGUAUCACAAAAUGUGAAAAAUAGCUUACAUGUGAGACUCACGUGAAUCAUGCAUAAACUGACUGACUAAGCUGACUGCAUAUGUUAUAUCUAGUCGCGUAUGCGAAAGAUAAAUCAGUCUGCCUACUAACCUCUGAUAUCUGUCAAUAUCUGCUGAUUCACCAAUCCCUGCUUGUAAUUUGUGAUUGCUCUUAAUGGGAGUUUCUUCUUGUUUGCAGUCUAACAUACCGGUUUCUUUCAAAAUAUCCAGAAUGUAUUUUCUCUGAUAAAUAAAAGUUUCCUUUUUUGAUCUAGCAAGUUUGAUUCCUAGGAAAUAUUGAAGUUUUUCUAAAUUUUUAAUUUCGAACUCCUGAGUGAAAAGCUUUUUCAGCCGAGUCAUCUCUUCAGUGUUAUCUCCUAUUAUUUCUAUGUCAUCAACAUAGACUAUUAACAGAGUAAUUUUACCUUUGUAAUGUCUGAUAAAUAGAGUAUGGUUAGCAUUACUCUGUUGAUAGCAAAAAAAAAUCAUUGUUCUGCUGAAUCAAUCAAACCAAGUUUUGGGUGACUGCUUCAACCCAUACAAAGCCUUUUUUAGCCUAUACACUUUUCCUUGUAUUUUUUCAUCAGCAAAUUCAGGAGAAAUUUCCGUAUACACUUCCUCCUCCAAGUCUCCAUGGAGGAAUGCAUUUUUCACAUUAAAUUGUUGUAGGUUCCAGUUAAGAUUGGCAGCGCAAGAUAACAAUACUCCGAUUGAGUUUAUUUUGGCAGCAGAGGCAAAUGUCUCCUGGUAAUCCACUCCAUAGGUUUAAAUAUAUCUCUUGGCAACUAGUCUAGUCUUGAAUAUUUCAAUUGAUCCAUCUGCUUUGUACUUCACAGUAAACACCCAUUUAUAGCCAACUGGUUUUUCUACAGGUGGAAGAGAUAUCAACUCUCAGGUCUCAUUUUUAGUCCAAACUUUUAUUUCUUCAAUCAUUGCUCCCUUCCAAUUAGAAUUUUUGAGAGUUUCCUUCCAAUCCUAUUUCUUCAAUCAUUGCUCCCUUCCAAUUAGAAUAUUUGAGAGCUUCCUUCAAAUCUUAUGGGAUAGAUACGGAGGAAAUAGAUAAGACAAAGGCUCUAUAGGAUGGAGACAAAGAAUCAUAAGAGAGAAAAUUAGAAAUAGAGUGCUUUGUGCAAGACUUAACUCCUUUUCGUUGAGCAAUUGGUUUAUCUAGAUCAUCAAUGGGCUCAAGGUUUAGGGAUGACUCACCAGAUGGAGAAAAAAAAGAUUCAUGACACUGAGUAGAUUGCACAAUGACUUUUUUUUGCUUUUGUAAUGUCUCUUAUUGAGUAUUUCCUUAAAUUUGGUUUAUCCAAACGCCCAAUUAUUUUUUUUUUAUCACCAUUAGUCUUCCCUAUAUAGCAGUCUCCUCCAUAGUAAAAUGCUCUAGAGGUAUAAGACUAGCAAUCAUCUCUUCUUUCUCAUUGUUCUCCUCCUGAAGAGGUGAUGGGGCAGUAUUGAAGUAAGGUUCAGUCUCUCUAAAUGAAACAUUCAUACUGACAAAGUAUUUUCUAGAUGCAAGGUGGUAACACUUGUAACUCUUCUGUGUAGGAGAGUAUCCAACAAACACACAUUUAAGAGCCCUCAGAUCAAGCUUCCCACCUGUUCUAGUAUAAACAAAAAACAUGCAUCCAAACACCUUUAGUGGAACAGUAUAAGCAUUUUUCCCUUGUAGCACCUCUAAAGGGAUUUUACAGGCAAAAGGUUUGAGAGGCAUUUUAUUAAUGAGAUAAACUGUGGUUAAGAGUGCAUCUCCCCCAAUAGGUUUUUGGAAGGUUCACGGUGAAUAGGAGAGAUCAAACUACUUUCAAUAUGUGCCUAUUUUUUCUUUCAGCAAUACCAUUUUGGAUAUUAGUGUAAGGACAAUAGUUUGAUGAAGUAUCCCAUUAGAUUCUAGAUAAGCAUAAAAACGUCCAUCCAUGUACUCUGUACCAUUAUAAGUUCUCAAAAUUUUUAUCUUAGUAUCAAAUGGAGUACAAACCAUCUUGUGAAAAUAUUGAAAGCAAGAAAACACACCAUUCUUUGCGUUUAUCAAAUAAACCCAAGUCAUACGAGUGCAACAAUCAAUAAAAGUAAUAAACCAAUGAUUACCAGAUAAUGAGACCGUUUGAGUAAGUCUCCAAACGUCAGAAUAGAUGGUCACAAAAGGAAUCAUAUUCCUAUUGUUACUUGAGGGAUAAGAGGUUCUUGUAUGCUUAGCGUACUCAUAAGCAUCGCAGACUAAAGAAUCACUCUGAGGCUUAGAAAAUAAAGCAGGAUAAAAUUUCUCUAAAACAAAAAAGGAUGGGUGUUCUAAUCGUCGAUGCCACUGUAUGAUUUCUUGGUUCACAUCCUAAUUUCUUCUAAAAAGAGCUCGAGGUGAAUUCAGACUCAGAUUCCCUUCCAACAUAUAUAAGUCAUCCUGCAGUCUACCAUUGUCAUUCCUCUUCCCAGUUUAAAGGUCCUGAAUAAUACAAUAAUUAGGAAAAAAAUCAAUUUUACAAUUAAGUGCUUUGGUGAGAGCACUAACAGAUAAAAGAUUAAUAGGAAAAUAAGUAACAUGAAGAACAGAGGAUAGCUUUAUAUUUGAAGUACAAAUAAUAGAACUGAUGCUAGAGAUAGGAGUGGAAGAACUAUCUGUGAUCCUAACAGUGUCUUUUUGUAGAUGUAGAAAGGUAAUAUUUGUUGGAAGAACCAUCUACGAUCCUAACAGUGCCCUUUUGUAGAUGUAGAAAGGUAAUAUUUGUUGUAUCUAUUACAGUAGAGAUCACAACAUAUUUAUACAUGAGAAACUGUAUCUAGAAAGAAAAGGAAAUCAAGAAAUCAAGACUAUGAUCAUGCAAUCCCUAAGAUUAGGCAACUAACACAUCUAUCAAUAUUUACUUUCUAUAUUAACAUAUUUACUUUCUAUAACACUCCUCCUCAAGUUGGAGUAUAGAUGUUAUGCCCAACUUGUUACAUAUAUGAAGAAUUUUAGGAAAAUUUAGAGUAUUCUUGUAUUUUCCUCUUAAUCUUUACAAUUGGUCUACAUGACUAUUUAUACACAAAGAAUUAUAUCUAAACAGGAAGCAAAUAAUCAAAUAAUAAUUACAGAGAUAAUUAAAGAUGCUAAUCAAAUCAAAUCAUAUCCCUAGAAUUAGCUAGGAUCAGCAAAUAAGUCAACAUUCUCCCUCAAGUUGGUGCAAAGAUGUCGCACAUGCCCAACUUGCAAAUCAGGUUAUGGUAGAUCUUGUUGUUGAGUCCUUUAGUAAACACAUCCACAAGUUGCCCAGUAGAAGUCACAAGAACUAGGCUUAAGACACCGUUUGUUAAGUAUAGACUGGAUUUUGUGCUAUACUUAUAGCAGUUUUUUAUGCGGAACCCAGGACCAACCUGUGAUCAAAAACCCUGUCACACAACUUGACAAAGAACAAGACAAAAAUAUCUUCCAAAAAGUUGCUCUAAUACACUCCUAACCAACUAAUAUGAUUAGAAACAUAGAUAAUCAAGCGAAAGUUGCUCUACUACACCCCUAACCAACCAAUGUGAUUAGAAACAUAGAUAAUCAAGCGAUUCCAGUUUCAGGAACGCCACAAGAAAUUCUUGAUAAGUUGACUAAGCAUGGAGGAUAUCCAUAUUAGAACGCCACAAGAUUAAACCUUGAUAAGUUGCUAAAUAGUGGAGAAGAACUAAAUAUUGUUCAUAACAUCAUUUUUAUUCGUUUUCCUCUUGUGGCUGCCACCUUAAGGGUGUUUUUAUACCCUUCAAACCCUAAUUCUAUUGUAGGAAGGUGUAAUUACAAUAUAGGAAGUGUAUCUAGUCAAAUAAUCAAACCUAGAUUACAUUAAAAAUCAUUUUCCUAAAUUGUUUUGGAGAAAUCUCCUUCCUAAAUGGGCUGCACGAAUUUGGCUUUUAAUAUAGGCCAAAUUUAUUUAAAACAAAUCCCACAAAAUACUAAAAUACCAAAAUAACAAAAUUGGUCUAAAUGCAAUUUGGCCAUACAUGCAUUACGCGAUUUGAAAUUGUAUUGUGUGUUCACAUGUGUUGAAGAGAGUGCCUUGUUUUUUUAUUCUCCCAUACUUCCCAAAUAUAGUUCUCAUCUGUAAGCCUUGAAUUAAGCGAUGGGAACUUGAUUUGUCAUGAUUUGGAGUUUUCCAUUUUAAAUCUUUGAAGCAUCGUAUUAUUUUCUUGCUCGUAUCAUUCUCUCCUUUUUCGAAAAGAUUCGUCCUCGAAUCUUCAACCAUAAUGACAAGAAAAGAAUCGACAGACAUGGGAUCCUCUUUAAAUUCAGUAUGACAUUUUGCGAAUAAAACACUAAAUUUUGACAUCUCUCCUCUUUUUUUCCUUUUUUUUUUUUUAAAUCAAACAACUGAAACGAUUUUUUUUCACUUUUUUUUUAUCUCACUUUUUUUUAAUAAAAAAAAACUCACACUACUAAAAUAAAAAAUUUUUCUUCUUAUUUUUUAUAUAAAUAUAACUGAAUUUUUUUUUUCUUUGUUUUUUUUUUGAGAGAAAUUAUAACAUAAACUAAAAUAAAAAAAAAUAAGAUAGAGUAAAAAAAUAAAAAAAAACUUACGAAAUAAAUAAAUAUAGAUAAAUAGGAAUUUAUCUAUCACCGUGCUCUGAUACCAACUGAUGCGGAACCCAGGACCAACAUGUGAUAAAAAACCCCGUCACACAACUUGAUAAAGAACAAGACAAAGAUAUAUUUCAAAAAGUUGCUUUACUACUCCCCUAACCAACUAAUGUGAUUAGAAACAUAGAUAAUCAAGCGAAGGUUGCUUUACUAUACCUCUAACCAACCAAUGUGAUUAGAAACAUAGAUAAUCAAGCGAUUCCAGUUUCGAGAACGCCACAAGAAAUUCUUGAUAAGUUAACUAAGCAUGGAGGAUAUCCAUAUUAGAACGCUACAGGGUUAGAUCUUGAUAAGUUGCUAAAUAGUGGAGAAGAACCAAAUAUUGUUCAUAACAUCAUCUUUAUUCGUUUUCCUCUUGUGGUUGCUACCUUAAGGGUGUUUUUAUAGCCUUCAAACCCUAAUUCUAUUGUAGGAAGGUGUAAUUACAAUAUAGGAAGUGUAUCUAGUCAAAUAAUCAAACCUACAUUACAUUAAAGAUCAUUUUCCUAAAUUGUCUUGGAGAAAUCUCCUUCUUAAAUGGGCUGCACGAAUUUGGCUUUUAAUAUAGGCCAAAUUAAUUUAAAACAAAUCCCACAAAAUACUAAAAUACAAAAAUAACAAAAUUGGUCUAAAUGCAAUUUGGCCAUACAUGCAUUAUGCGAUCUGAAAUUGUAUUGUGCGUCCACAUGUGUUGAAGAGAGUGCAACUUGUUUCCUUAUUCUCCCAUACUUCCCAAAUAUAGUUCUCAUCUCGUAAGCCUUGAAUUAAGUGAUGGGAACUUGAUUUAUCAUGAUUUGGAGUUUCCCAUUUUAAAUCUUUGAAGCAUCGUAUUAUUUCCUUGCUCGUAUCAGUUUUAUUGUCACAAUACAAAGUUAUCUUGUCUCUCUCGGGCAACCUCAACUCCUCCAAUAACUUCUGCAACCAUAAGAGUUCACACACCUUGGGUCAUUGCUCUGUAUUCUGCUUUAGCACUUGACCAAGCAACAACACUUAGUUUUUUGCUCCUCUACGUGACAAGGUUUCCUCCCACAACUAUGCAGUAGCCACAGGUGGAUCUCCUGUCAUCGAGAGAUCCUGCCCAAUCUGCAUCUGUAAAAGCUUCAAUUCGGAGGUGACCAUGUUUGGAGUAAAGAAGCCCUUUCCUUGGCGCAAACCUUAGAUAUCUCAAUAUGCGAAGUACAGGCUGCAUAUGAGUCUCGCGAGAGUUAUGCAUGAAUUGGCUGACUAAGCUAAUAGCAUAGACUAUAUCCGGUCGAGUGUGUUAGAGAUAAAUCGACCUUCCUACCGAUCUCUGUUAUCUUCCAAUAUCCACGAACUCAUCAGUUCCUGCUUCCAGCUUGUGAUUACUUGCAAUGGGAGAUUCUGCUGGUUUACAUUCCAUCAUACUAGUUUCUUCCAAAAUAUCCAUAAUAUACUUUCUUUGGGAGAUAAAAAUUCUUUUUUCUGAUCUAG
rnacentral:lncRNA from 1 species